rnacentral:ncRNA from 1 species
AAGCUAUGAGAUAAAAACACGAUUCGGUUGGUAGUCCGAAUGCAGAUGCUAAUCUGUCAGUAACCUGCCCUCCUGGGGUUGUCCAUUCUCUUUAAAAAGCAA